GGUUAAGCGACUAAGCGUACACGGUGGAUGCCCUGGCAGUCAGAGGCGAUGAAGGACGUGCUAAUCUGCGAUAAGCGUCGGUAAGGUGAUAUGAACCGUUAUAACCGGCGAUUUCCGAAUGGGGAAACCCAGUGUGAUCCGUCACACUAUCAUUACGUGAAUACAUAGCGUAAUGAAGCGAACCGGGGGAACUGAAACAUCUAAGUACCCCGAGGAAAAGAAAUCAACCGAGAUUCCCCCAGUAGCGGCGAGCGAACGGGGAGCAGCCCAGAGUCUGAAUCAGCAUGUGUGUUAGUGGAAGCGUCUGGAAAGUCGCACGAUACAGGGUGAAAGUCCCGUACACAAAAGUGCAUGUGUUGUGAACUCGAAGAGUAGGGCGGGACACGUGGUAUCCUGUCUGAAUAUGGGGGGACCAUCCUCCAAGGCUAAAUACUCCUGACUGACCGAUAGUGAACCAGUACCGUGAGGGAAAGGCGAAAAGAACCCCGGCGAGGGGAGUGAAAAAGAACCUGAAACCGUGUACGUACAAGCAGUGGGAGCACCCUUUGGGGUGUGACUGCGUACCUUUUGUAUAAUGGGUCAGCGACUUAUAUUCUGUAGCAAGGUUAACCGAAUAGGGGAGCCGAAGGGAAACCGAGUCUUAACUGGGCGUUAAGUUGCAGGGUAUAGACCCGAAACCCGGUGAUCUAGCCAUGGGCAGGUUGAAGGUUGGGUAACACUAACUGGAGGACCGAACCGACUAAUGUUGAAAAAUUAGCGGAUGACUUGUGGCUGGGGGUGAAAGGCCAAUCAAACCGGGAGAUAGCUGGUUCUCCCCGAAAGCUAUUUAGGUAGCGCCUCGUGAACUCAUCUUCGGGGGUAGAGCACUGUUUCGGCUAGGGGGUCAUCCCGACUUACCAACCCGAUGCAAACUGCGAAUACCGAAGAAUGUUAUCACGGGAGACACACGGCGGGUGCUAACGUCCGUCGUGAAGAGGGAAACAACCCAGACCGCCAGCUAAGGUCCCAAAGUCAUGGUUAAGUGGGAAACGAUGUGGGAAGGCACAGACAGCCAGGAUGUUGGCUUAGAAGCAGCCAUCAUUUAAAGAAAGCGUAAUAGCUCACUGGUCGAGUCGGCCUGCGCGGAAGAUGUAACGGGGCUAAACCAUGCACCGAAGCUGCGGCAGCGACACUAUGUGUUGUUGGGUAGGGGAGCGUUCUGUAAGCCGUUGAAGGUGUACUGUGAGGUAUGCUGGAGGUAUCAGAAGUGCGAAUGCUGACAUAAGUAACGAUAAUGCGGGUGAAAAACCCGCACGCCGGAAGACCAAGGGUUCCUGUCCAACGUUAAUCGGGGCAGGGUGAGUCGACCCCUAAGGCGAGGCCGAAAGGCGUAGUCGAUGGGAAACAGGUUAAUAUUCCUGUACUUGGUGUUACUGCGAAGGGGGGACGGAGAAGGCUAUGUUAGCCGGGCGACGGUUGUCCCGGUUUAAGCAUGUA
rnacentral:rRNA from 1 species